GACAUAGCCGUUCACGCCGCGUAUCGUUCACGCCGCGUACCGACAGCUUCACUACAUGAACUCACAACCUCAUGGUCAGCCGCAUGACGCUUGCGCGCCGUCAGAAAGAUGACUAGUUAGCCGAUCACAUAAUGAGGAAGCAAGAACGGAGUAAAACAGUCCAAUUCGCGCGUAACGUUAUUCGCCAAAACGAUCUGAUCUACAACCAACCAUGCAAAAAAAAUUAAUCUAGAUCAAAAACAACACAAGCACAGCCCUGG
rnacentral:lncRNA from 1 species